GGAUGAACGCUGGCGGCGCGCUUAACACAUGCAAGUCGAGCGAGAACCGGGCCUUCGGGCCUGGGGAAAGCGGCGAACGGGUGAGUAACACGUGGGCAACCCACCCUUGGUAUCCGGAUAGCCCGAGGAAACUCGGAUUAAUACGGAAUGGCCCAACAGCUCUUCGGGGCGGUUGGAAAAGGUAGCUUCGGCCUCCGACCAAGGACGGGCCCGCGGUGGAUUAGCUUGUUGGUGGGGUAAUGGCCUACCAAGGCGACGANCCAUAGCUGGUCUGAGAGGACGACCAGCCACACUGGAACUGAGACACGGUCCAGACUCCUACGGGAGGCAGCAGGUGGGGGAAUUUUGGACAAUGGGCGCAAGCCUGAUCCAGCAAUGCCGCGUGAGU
rnacentral:rRNA from 1 species